AAUAGAUACCCUGGUAGUCCACGCCGUAAACGAUGAGUGCUAAGUGUUAGAGGGUUUCCGCCCUUUAGUGCUGCAGCUAACGCAUUAAGCACUCCGCCUGGGGAGUACGGCCGCAAGGCUGAAACUCAAAGGAAUUGACGGGGGCCCGCACAAGCGGUGGAGCAUGUGGUUUAAUUCGAAGCAACGCGAAGAACCUUACCAGGUCUUGACAUCCUCUGACCUCCCUGGAGACAGGGCCUUCCCCUUCGGGGGACAGAGUGACAGGUGGUGCAUGGUUGUCGUCAGCUCGUGUCGUGAGAUGUUGGGUUAAGUCCCGCAACGAGCGCAACCCUGUCGUUAGUUGCCAGCAUUCAGUUGGGGACUCUAACGAGACUGCCAGUGACAAACUGGAGGAAGGUGGGGAGUGACGUCAAAUCAUCAUGCCCCUUAUGACCUGGGCUACACACGUGCUACAAUGGUUGGUACAAAGAGAAGCGAAGCGGUGACGUGGAGCAAACCUACAUAAAGCCAAUCUCAGUUCGGAUUGUAGG
rnacentral:rRNA from 1 species